rnacentral:rRNA from 1 species
ACUCCGUGCCAGCAGCCGCGGUAAUACGGAGGGGGCUAGCGUUGUUCGGAAUUACUGGGCGUAAAGCGCGCGUAGGCGGGUCGUUAAGUUAGAGGUGAAAGCCCGGAGCUCAACUCCGGAACUGCCUUUGAUACUGGCGGCCUAGAGUCCGGGAGAGGUGAGCGGAAUUCCGAGUGUAGAGGUGAAAUUCGUAGAUAUUCGGAGGAACACCAGAGGCGAAGGCGGCUCACUGGACCGAUACUGACGCUGAGGAGCGAAAGCGUGGGGAGCAAACAGGAUUAGAUACCCUGGUAGUCCACGCCGUAAACGAUGAGUGCUAAGUGUUAGGGGGUUUCCGCCCCUUAGUGCUGCAGCUAACGCAUUAAGCACUCCGCCUGGGGAGUACGGCCGCAAG